GCGAACGCUGGCGGCAGGCCUAACCCAUGCCAGUCGAACGAACUCUUCGGAGUUAGUGGCGGACGGGUGAGUCACACGUGGGAACGUGCCUUUUGGUUCGGAAUAACUCAGGGAAACUUGUGCUAAUACCGAAUGUGCCCUUCGGGGGAAAGAUUUAUCGCCAUUAGAGCGGCCCGCGUCUGAUUAGCUAGUUGGUGAGGUAACGGCUCACCAAGGCGACGAUCAGUAGCUGGUCUGAGAGGAUGACCAGCCACACUGGGACUGAGACACGGCCCAGACUCCUACGGGAGGCAGCAGUGGGGAAUCUUGCGCAAUGGGCGAAAGCCUGACGCAGCCAUGCCGCGUGAAUGAUGAAGGUCUUAGGAUUGUAAAAUUCUUUCACCGGGGACGAUAAUGACGGUACCCGGAGAAGAAGCCCCGGCUAACUUCGUG
rnacentral:rRNA from 1 species